rnacentral:rRNA from 1 species
UACGAGGGGAGCUAGCGUUGUUCGGAAUCACUGGGCUUAAAGCGUGUGUAGGCGGGCCGUUAAGUGUCUUGUGAAAUCCCCCGGCUCAACCGGGGAAUUGCUGGGCAUACUGGCGGUCUUGAGCGAUCUAGGGGCAGAUGGAACAAGUGGUGGAGCGGUGAAAUGCGUAGAUAUCACUUGGAACGCCAAAGGUGAAGACAGUCUGCUGGGGAUCUGCUGACGCUGAGACACGAAAGCCAGGGGAGCGAACGGG